GUGCUCACUUUGGCAGCGCAUGUACUGGAAUUGGAACGAUACAGAGAAGACUAGCAUGGCCCCUGAGCAAGGAUGUGCAAAUUUGCGAGGCGUUCCACAUUUUU